AUAAUGAUACUCCCAUACAGUCAAUAGUCCGAGCGUUAAAAGCGUCGCAGGCAAUGAGUAUGGCUACAUGAGAACCAUGCAGGGGUGGAACUCCCGUGA
rfam:Anaerococcus lactolyticus ATCC 51172 genomic scaffold SCAFFOLD2, whole genome shotgun sequence.